GAUGAACGCUAGCGGCAGGCUUAAUACAUGCAAGUCGAGGGGCAUCAAGGUACACGAAAGUGUAUUGUUGGCGACCGGCGGACGGGUGAGUAGUAGGUAGGUAACCUACCUCAUACUGAGGCAUAGCUGGGAGAAAUUCCAGGUAAUUCCUCAUGAGGUUAUAUGACACAUGUGAUAUAAUCAAAGGUAUCGCAAGGUACUGGUAUGAGAUGGGCUUACUGACCAUUAGCUAGUUGGUGAGAUAAGAGCUCACCAAGGCGAAGAUGGUUAGGGGUUUUGAGAGAGAGAUCCCCCACAUUGGAACUGAGAUACGGUCCAGACUCCUACGGGAGGCAGCAGUAGGGAAUAUUGGGCAAUGGGCGGAAGCCUGACCCAGCCAUGCCGCGUGAAGGAAGACGGCCUUAUGGGUUGUAAACUUCUUUACUAUGCGACUAACUAGAUUUACGAGAUAAUUCUAUAGAAUGUAGCAUAGCAAAAGCACC
rnacentral:rRNA from 1 species